GACAGAGGGUGCAAGCGUUGUUCGGAAUUACUGGGCGUAAAGCGCGUGUAGGCUGCUCGGAAAGUCGGCUGUGAAAGCCCUGGGCUCAACCUAGGAAGUGCAUUCGAAACUUCCGAGCUGGAGUGCUGGAGAGGAAGGCGGAAUUCUCGGUGUAGAGGUGAAAUUCGUAGAUAUCGAGAGGAACACCGGUGGCGAAGGCGGCCUUCUGGACAGCGACUGACGCUGAGACGCGAAAGCGUGGGGAGCAAACAGG
rnacentral:rRNA from 1 species